UGCCCCGGCCGCUACGUCCAGCCCCGCCCUCUGGCCCGUUCGGCCGCUCUGGGGGCCCCAGGGCUGGGCCGGGCGCAGCCGCUGGGCGCCCUCACAGGUGGCGGGGCAGCCAGCGCGCCCGACUCGGCGCGCCACCGGGCUUUGCCGGGCAGACACCCCGCGCUCCCUUCCCGCCCCUCCGCCGCGCUCUUGGCAGCCCAUCUGCUCUCGCGGCCGCCCGGGUUGCCUGACCGGUGACUGAGUAGGCCGCACCCUGGGCACAGCAAAUGGAGGACGCUGGCAUUUGAGAGGGGAACGAGGGAGGACGCAGCUCGGCUCCCAGCGUUCUCCCGGGCCCUCCGAAGCGGCCGCGGGCAGUGCGCUGGCGGGUCUCUGCGCCCUGGGGUUCUGGCCGCCCGGGUGCCGGGUGAGGGACCUAGCGCGAGGCCGGCGGGCGCGCACGCUGCGCACUUGCACCUGUUGGAGAGGGCCUCAACCUGCACCGCCCGAGCGGACCUCCCAGAUAGACGCCACCCCGGCUGCGGUCACCUCCCGAAGCGGCCUCAUUUGGCUUUAGGAAAACAAAACCAAAAAGUGGGUUUAUAGUUGCACACGUCGACUCCCCUAUGGGACAGCCAGUGAAGACCAUAUUUUGAUGUGGAUGAGCCCAAUGUGUGUGUCUUCGGGGGCCGGUGUAACCCCAUGUGCUGCUGCUUGUUGUGAGGCCAAAGCCUGGGACCGCGGGGGUACUUAAUGUCCCUGCUUUUCUUCAUGGCACAGGCCAUUAGGGAAGCGGGUCUCUCAGCCUCCACUCUGCCAGCUGCUCCAAAUUCACAGUGGCUACAAAGCUAAGGCCUCCCAGUAGAGGGCAAGGGGCCCCUUGUGCUGCUGGUGUCAUUGUCCACGACUCAUCACCACGGCAAGAGAAGCUGGAGACUCCCUGUUACAAAGGCAGAAGUGUGGCACCAAGCAAAGGUGGUAUCCCUGUGAUCAUUUUUCUGGCCAGGCCUGCAUCCCAGCCCACUCUCGAGCCACCACAGUGCCCUGUGGCCUUCAGACCAGGGCCCCUGGCUCAUGGUGGCGGAGCUGCCCAGCUGAGUAUUUUAUAGAAGAGUUUCCUACAUGCAGAAAAUGCACCAAGGCCUCCGUGAGCUUUUGAACACAGAAGAGGUAAAGACAACAGCAGGACCACCAGGAGCUCCCAGCAAGGGGUGGGUACAGAAAAGGAGAAUGCCCCUGCUUUAGAGCCUGGUGGGCCCACUCCACUCACUUCAGAAGCUGGCAAAAGUUAAAGAAUCAGUGAGAGAGAAGAGAGAUUAGGCUGCCUCAGAAGAAUGGGUCCCUACCCCACCUCACAGGCUGGCUAGGGAGCAGUCACUUGUCACUUCCUGGAGCUGUUGCUGGUCCCUGAGAUGGCCCACAGAGCUCCUUCCAGCCAGAGAGCACCAGCACGCAGGACACUGAAGGACCUCGCUGCUCCUGGAGAUGCUACAGUAAAAUGUCAAGCCCAUGAAUGGAAGGCAACUCGCUGCUGUUGUGUGAAGAAGCCUGGUGAAACUCCAGCAACUUCUACCACUGUCCGGCUGCUGAGUUCUGGGCCUUGAGGUCAAAUUCUAGAAAAGAACCACAUGGGAUGUAUAACCUGGCCAUGUCUCUUGGGUUCUUGGCUGCUGCCAGCAACAUUUUCUGGGUUUGUAACUCACAUGAGAACCCUCCUUUACUAUGGAUGCGGAGAUGGAUGUAAAGGUCCUGCUCACGAAUCCCGGACUAUGCGGGUGUAGACCAAGAAGACACCAAGAGGAGAGGCCUACAGUGAACCCAGCCUGAGCGGGCUACAACGGGGGCAGCCAGGCACCUGUCGUAGCGGAGAUGGGUAAUCAUCUGGAGUCUUCCUGACUGAUCCAACCUGAAACGAGUGCCUGUUGGGAGCCUCAGGUCCACCCCAGCUCAGAGGAAGGAGCAGGAAAGCCCGGAUCCCGCCUCGGGUUCUCACCAAGCCAAGCGACCCGGAGCGCUCCCGGAGGCGCCCAGAGGCCGGCCGGCUGGGGGUGGGGCUCGUGCUGUGACGCCGCCCCCCGCCUCGCCCCGCCCCGCGCGCGUUGCCGGGGUGAUCAGGUGACUCGGAGCUCUAGGCGCUCCCGGCAGCCGUGACGUCAGGCUCGCCGCUGCUCCUCUCUCGCUCGGUGGCAGGUGCGGAGCAUCUGGUGCGGUCUCAUCUGGUCGGGUCAGGUCUCUACCAAACCAGUGCCCUACGGAUUCGAGAAGAGGAGAG